UAGAUUUUAAGACCCUUUUAUUCCAGAUUGU
rnacentral:piRNA from 1 species